rnacentral:lncRNA from 1 species
GCGAGAGUGCACUAAUAUGUACACAACAGCUACCUUGGAGCACCAUCAUGAGGGUGAGGAGCGGAGAUGCAGUAACCCAAGCAUUUGGUGUCUGGGCUCUGGGAUAGGUUUCAGAUCCCAGCUCUGUGGCUUGUCUAGUUUCAUGACUGGAGAUGAGCUACUUGACCUCUUAGUGCAUCAAGUUGCUUCAUCUCUAAAAUGGGAAUGACAAUAAUAGGAUCUAUAUUUUGGGAUUGUUUUGAGGAAUGAGUAAGUUAAUAUAGGCAAGAGUUAUAGGUACGAGUAAGUUAAUGUAGAUUAGAAUAGUGCCUGGCAAAACAUCUGUCAUUGGUUACAGGCAUUUGAUCGAUGAGAACUGUUAAUUUAGUAGUUACGCAGCAUCCGUGAAGGCCAUACCAAUCCUGGACUUUACUAUUUUUUUUUUUAUAGCUGUUGAGGGAUAGGCUGCAUGGAAAGGAUUGGUAGGGCUAUUUUGUAAUGGAAUGAAACAUUUAAAUUACAUUAAGAAAAGGAAUCCAACAUUGUUUAUCCAUUUUGGUGGCUCACAGGUAAAAAGUCUCUUAAACAGGUUAUGCAGAAACAGUGUGGUAGUAGUGCUUUUUAAACAUAAAAGUGCAUAUAAAUCACCUGGGGAAUUUAUUAAAAUUCAGAUGCAUUGGAGGUGGAGCCUGAGAUUCUGCAUUUCUCACGAGCUCUUGGAGAAAAGCUGGUGAUGCCCAGGGAGGGACCAGUGAGCAGCAAGGUUAUGAGGUGUUUGAGGCCAAACUCUUCCCAAAGACACCUUUAAACAGAAGUGAGGAUUUGAAAGAAGGGAUUCUCCCAUUUCCUACUCAGAAACAAA